rnacentral:rRNA from 1 species
AUGGGCAUCCUGUCCCUCAUCACCGGGAAGCCGGGCGCCAGCGGGUUCGGCUCGGGCUCCACGGCGGAGCAGGUCACCGAGGACAUCUGCGCCGCCGGCCUCACCGUCGUCGUCACAGGAGGAUCUAGUGGCAUUGGUCUAGAGACCUCGAGAGUCUUUGCCCUGAGAGGAGCCCAUGUCAUCAUUGCUGCGAGAAACACAGAGGCUGCAUCAGAGGCAAAGAAGCGCAUCAUGAAGAUACACCCAGUAGCCCGUAUCGAUGUUCUGAAGCUUGACCUUAGCUCCCUCAAGUCUGUCAGGGCCUUCGCUGACCAGUUCAACGCCAUGAAUCUUCCUCUAAACAUCUUGAUAAAUAAUGCAGGUGUGAUGUUCUGUCCUUUCCAACUGUCUGAAGACGAAGUGGAGAUGCAGUUUGCCACAAAUCAUCUUGGUCACUUCCUACUGACCAACCUUCUCCUUGAUAACAUGAAAACCACUGCCAAGUCCACGGGUAUUGAGGGUCGCAUUGUGAACUUGUCAUCAGUUGCCCACCUCCAUACAUAUCCAAAGGGGAUUCUGUUUGAUCAGCUCAAUGACAAGAAAAUAUACAAUGAUAAAAUGGCCUAUGGACAAUCUAAGCUUGCAAACAUACUGCACGCAAAAGAGCUCUCUAGGCGGCUCAAGGAGGAAGGAGCCAACAUCACAGUUAAUUGCGUUCAUCCUGGAUUGAUCAUGACCAAUUUGAUGAGGCAUUCCUUUGCUCUCAUGAAGGCAAUUCAACUUGUCACCUACUUGUUCUGGAAGAAUGUACCUCAGGGAGCAGCAACCACUUGUUAUGUAGGGCUCAACCCUCAGCUGAAGGGGGUGACAGGCAAAUACUUUGCCGACUGCAACGAGGAGAAGACGAGCGCGCACGCGAAGAGUGACGUCUUGGCGAAGCAACUCUGGGAAUUCAGCGAGGAGCUCAUCAGAUCCGUGAAAUGA